GCUGGGCAGCCUUGGAGCAGCUCCACACGAUGGGAAAGGGUGAAACGGCCCUGAGGAGAGGCUGGCUGGGCUGGUGUCACCGCCAAGGUGACCUGGGGACAAGGCAGGGUGUUUACAAGGCUCGCAGUGCCCCGGCCCCGGGCGGCAGGAGGGGGAAGCUGCCCGUGCCCCUGGCAGGGAGAUUCUGCAAGGACAAGCCUCUUAAAUCAAACCUAACCCGGCUGCGGGGCGAGCUGCCGAGGGAAAUCCGGAGCUGCUCGGGGCAAGAGUUAAAACGUGUUAAGCACCGAGAUCCAGGCCAGAUGUGGAACUCUCCGGGGCCACCACGGGGCUUUGAGCCGCUUGUUUGACACCUCUGCUUUCGACAUUAAAAGUCCCAGCGGGGAGGAAAUCCUCCUGGCCUGAGUUAUGUGCUAUUUACCGAGGGGGGCAGCCCUUGAAAGGAGUCCCAGUAAAACCUGGAAUAAGAUGCUGGAUGAAGAUAAAAAAUCCUCCUGCCUCUGAGGGAUAAGGGAAGGCUGGAAGUGUGUGAGAGCUCCAGGCUCCGUUUGGAAAAGCACUCACAGGCAAUAAACCCCUGCUCUUCCUGCUCAAUUGCUGGCAUGGGACAGCAGAGGCUUCUCCCGGCCCCGAGUCAGAUGUGGGGAGGAAAAAUCAGGAAUUACUGGCUGGAUGCUGCAAGUCCCCAUCAGGAAUCUCCCCCUCUCUCUGCUCCUCUCCGUUCCCAGGUUUUCCUGUGGUUCAGUGAAGUGCUGGAAUCCCUGGAAACGUCCAAAAAAUGUGUGAAUGCAGCAUUUGGGGACCUGGCUUCACGGGUAGCGCUGUUAAAGCUCACUUUCACCACGAUGGAUCUCAUUCUUUCUGGCCCUCCUACGUAAAAAAUAAAGAAACGACCCUUAAGUUGCAGGAAAAGGAUUUCCCUAAGCUCAGAGGGCUCAGGAAUUUUUCCAGGGGUCUUCACCCUCACCUGGCUCAGAGGCCACCAGGCGUGGACAGAGGGCAGUGACAGGGCUGGAUUUUGAGGCAGAACCCCCAAAACAGGCGAGCAAAGCCCUCUGGCUCCCGGCUCAGAUCCUCCCCCUCUCCCUGAGGCCGGGAUCACAAACCCCGAGGGGCUGACGUGGCUCAGGGCCCCUCUCCCCACGGAUUCCACCCCCAGCCUCAGCCUCCCCAGGAUGCUGGAUCCGUGUCUGCACGCUUUUCCUGUGCCCUGACAUGACUGCAAGUGGCAGGGCUGCUCCUGCCCAUCACUGCCUGCCCUUGACUUGUCUUCCAGACACGUUGCUUUUUCUUUUUCUUUUUUUUUUUCUUUCUUUUUUUUUUUUUUUUUUCCCCCUCCCAGGGUUUGAUUUCCUUGCUUGUUUGUUUUCCUCCCUGCUCGGUGUCAGAGCAGCUCCAGGGCUCGUUCUGAGGCUGACAGGACUUAAGGGAUGGGGUUUUUCUGCUGUAGAGAAAUCCUUCUCUUUGUAUCAGAAAGGACACAGCCAGUGCUGGCUGGGGAUCCAAAGGUGCCAAAGGCUUGCAGGGGAGAGGAGAGGCAGCUCCUCCAUCCCCUCUCCUCCCUGGAGAUCCCUCCUGAGGCCAGGCUGCUGGAAAGGGCUCCAUGGCUCAGGGGGAGCAGAGAACUCCUAAAAAUACCCGGGAGGCAGAUGUUCUAGGGAGCUCUGCUCACAAAGAAGUACAAAUAAAAGUGUCCCAGGUGUCCCGGGGCUGUCCCAGGAUUCUCCCAGGGCUGUCCCAGUGCUGUCCUGGGGCUGUCCCAGGAUUGUCCCAGUGACGUCCCAGUGCUGUCCCAGUGCUGUCCCAGGAUUGUCCCAGUGACGUCCCAGCACUGUCCCAGCGCUGUCCCAGGAUUGUCCCAGGGCUGUCCCAGGAUUGUCCCAGUGAUGUCCCAGUGAUGUCCCAGUGCUAUCCCAGCACUGUCCCAGGGCUGUCCCGGGGCUGUCCCAGGAUUCUCCCAGUGCUAUCCCAGCACUGUCCCAGCGCUGUCCCGGGGCUGUCCCUCUCCUGAGUCACCCAGGCCCUGGGCACACUCCCUGCCCUGCCCUGCCCUGCCGUGCCGCAGGUUCCCAUGGCCAGCAGCUUCUCUGUGCCCGUCCUGACUCAGCCCGGACCUGCCGGGCUGGCCCAGCCGGUCUCUCUCAGGUGUGGCCGCGUUAUUUGCUCGCUGAUUACCGGAAUAAAACCAUCAUUAACCCGCUGCUGCCACCCCGCCGGGCGUGUGCCUCCCGUCUGCAGCCAGCCCCUGUCCCUGCCAGCCCCGGGGGUGCCCUUUGGGGCUGCAUCCCUGCUCACAGGGCACCUCCGAGCCCACACUUCCCAGGUUUGUGCCUUAUCCCAUUCCCAGGAGUGGGAUGGGAAAGAAGAGGAGGAAGGAUGGGGCUUGGAGAGUGCCCAGAACUCAGCACUGGCUCCAUCUCUGUAAGAAAAGGGGGGAAAUGACAUGUUAAAUUACAUGUUAAAUUACAUGUUAAAUUGCAUUUCAAAUGACAUUUUAAAUUACAUUUUAAGCUGAUGUAUUCCUUGCAAACGCAAGCACAGCUGGGUUUCUCAGGGCAGGGAUUUGCUGGCUUUGUCCUGCACAAAUGUCCCAUCCCAGAGCUCAGGGCUGACCCCACACCCACAUUGUGGCACUGGCACGUGUGUCCCAGCCCUGGGGGAGUUCUGCAUCCUGGGAAAUCCCUGGAAGCAGCUUUGGGCUGAAAGAGCUCCUUGUGUGGCUGGGACAGCAGCGCCCGACAUGUCCCCAGGGCUGGCGCUGUCCCUGCUCCUCCAGCUGUGCCACAGUGACCCCAGAGCUGUCCCCAAAAUUCCCUGCCCCUAAGGCUGGCCCAGCUCGGGGCUCACACCUGGCCAGGCGUGGGGGUGGCACACGGGGACCCUGCAGAGGUGACAGAGGUGACAGAGGUGACAAUUCCCUCACACACUGCCAGACCCCGGGGUUAUUUAGCAGCAGCCCUUCCCUCCACCUUUGGAGAUUUAAUGCAUUCCAGGGAAAGAAAAGCACAGCACUCCCAGAAAUUAAUUUGCAGCCACUCUGCAGAAUUUAUUUUUUAAAAAAUCAGAUUUCCCCCGUUUUAAGCAGCGAUUCCUUCUCACUUUUUUUUCCCCUGUGACACCAAAUCAUGCACUGUGACAUCCCAGAGGCUGCAGAGCUCUGCUGCCAGCUGCUGCUGCUGAUGUGCAGCCCCAGGGAUGCAGCCCAGGUGUGGGCCAGGAUUGACUCUGCCUCUCCAAAACCACUGAAAAUUCCCCAGCAGGACAGGCUGGGAAUAUCCUGGAGCAGCCCAGCCCUGCAGAGAGCAGCUGACAUUUCCACCAGGCUGAAAGCAAGGAGGAUUUCUGGAGGAAAGGGGGUAAAUUUGGGUCAGUGGUGCUGCUUGCUGGGAGCAGGGCAGGAAGUGGCUGUGUUUACAGGGCUGGAGUUGUUUUUUUCCUGUGGCACACACACGGAAUGCUCUCGGAGCCUGGAAAUGGUUUUUAUGGGAGACAGCAAUUAUCCUGCAGGGUGAAUUAAAAAAAAAUAUUCGUGUGGCAAAUGAAUUUGUAGAUUAAAAAAUAGCCGGCUUCUGAUUGUAACAGCGUGAAUUAUAACUUCUGUAUCGUCACACGAGACUGAAAAUGGAAUAAAAGUUUUAAAAACA